CCAAUAGCGUAUAUUAAAGUUGUUGCAGUUAAAAAGCUCGUAGUUGAAUUUCGGGAUUGACGUGACGGUCAUGCCUUAAGGGGUAUGAACUGUUGCUGUUGAUUUCUCACCUUCUGGAGAAACUUGAUGUCCUUUAUUGGGUGUCUUGCGGAUCCAGGACCUUUACCUUGAAAAAAUUAGAGGGUUUAAAGCAGGCAUUUUUGCCCGAAUACAUUAGCAUGGAAUAAUAGAAUAGGACGGCAUGGUUCUAUUUUGUUGGUUUCUAGGAUCACCGUAAUGAUUAAUAGGGAUAGUUGGGGGCAUUAGUAUUCAAUUGUCAGAGGUGAAAUUCUUGGAUUUAUUGAAGACUAACUACUGCGAAAGCAUUUGCCAAGGAUGUUUUCAUUAAUCAAGAACGAAAGUUAGGGGAUCGAAGACGAUCAGAUACCGUCGUAGUCUUAACCAUAAACUAUGCCGACUAGGAAUCAGACGAUGUUAAUUUUUUAAUGACUCGUUUGGCACCUUACG
rnacentral:misc_RNA from 1 species